GUGUUGAGUUUUCACACCGAGAGUGAAUUAAAGAGAGAGAGUGAGGUUAGGUGGCGGACAACGAAAGAUGGCAAACAACAAGUAGUAUAUCAAACUGUAUAGCGCCAGGCUGUAUGAAUUGUCUCCAAACAAAAAUCCCCCAUCAUCAGCUGCCCCCAAGGACCCACAACUUUUGAAGAAGUGGCUCCUCAUGUUCUGAAGAGAAAGGAAGUGCCAGCUCAAUUUAGUAGGAUCUGGCGACAGCACUUCGUGGAGGAAGACUUUGCGACGAUGGGGAACUUUCGAUGCGGCAACCGAAGGGUUUCUGUGGGAGCAAAACUCAUGACUCUGAUUCCAUUUCCAUUAUUAGCAGCAUUUAGGCUGUUUGAAGAGCAGAGACAGAAUGGCUAUAUAAGGAAUGGAACAUAUAGGACCAGGUCCCUGCUAGCAUUAUAACCUAUACAGCUGUCAGAUGUGGGCCGUUAACAAGCAACAACUGAGAUGGAGAGAUAAUGGUAAAGAACGGUCAAGGGAAGCUAUUUUCAUAUAGAGGGAGGGGACUCCUCUAUACGUUAUGCAAAGACAGAAUCAUAUAAAGAUGGGACUCUGUAAUAUGAGAAUUUAGUAUUUUUCAUGGAAGGACUCGGCUUUGCUACUCUAGGGCUAGGGGGCAGUAUUUACACGGCCGGAUAAAAAACGUACCCGAUUUAAUCUGGUUACUACUCCUGCCCAGAAACUACAAUAUGCAUAUAAUUAUUGGCUUUGGAUAGAAAACACCCUAAAGUUUCUAAAACUGUUUGAAUGGUGUCUGUGAGUAUAACAGAACUCAUAUGGCAGGCAAAAACCUGAGAAGAUUCUGUACAGGAACUACCCUCUCUGACCAUUCCUUGGGCUUCUUGGCUCUGUUUAUUGAAAACUUAGGAUCUUUGCUGUAACGUGACACUUCCUACGGCUCCCAUAGGCUCUCAGAACCCGGGAAAAAGCUGAAUGAUGUAAUUCCAGCCCCUGGCUGAAAAACAUUAGCGCCUUUGGUAAGUGGUCUAUCAGAGGACAAUGAGACUGAGGCGCGUGCACUAGGCGACCCCAUGUUUUUAUUUUCUCUCUCUUUGAACUAAAACACGAUUUCCCGGUCGGAAUAUUAUCGCUUGUUUACGAGAAAAAUGACGUCACCCUUCUUUACCCUUUCGGAUAGUGUCUUAAACGCACGAACAAAACAGAGGAUAUUUGAACAUAACUAUGGAUUAUUUUGAACCAAACCAACAUUUGUUAUUGAAGUAGAAGUCCUGGGAGUGCAUUCUGACGAAGAACAGCAAAGAGUCGAGGAUAAAAGCGACAGAACAGAGGAGG
rnacentral:lncRNA from 1 species